CCAUUGUGUAUAUGUACCCCAUCUUCUUGAUCCACUCCUCUGUCCCAGAGCACUUUCUUUCAGUGUGUAAACCAAGAGGCUGUGUACUCCUUUCAACCCCUCAGGAGAGAAACUGAUAUCCUGACCCAAGGUAUCAGACUUUGACCUCCAGCGCCUUUGCUCUGUUGUUCUUAUCUGUGCAGCAGUCAGCACACUUAAAAAAACGGGCUACGUAGGAAUGAAAAGAAAAACUGGUAUCAGUGAAUCCACCAAAGGAAAAGGGGGAAAGGAACUAACAAGACAUUGAAGAAGGCAGAAGAAAUGGAUUACGUGGCGGGGGGGCGGGGGGCAGAGUUUUCCUGAAGCACAUGCUGUGUCAGAGGAUGACCAGGACCACUUCACAGAAAGAAUUCUGACUGAACUUCUCUCUUUCUUCCCAGGGGUCUCUGAUCAUAGGAUACACACCAGUGAGUCAGAGAGGAAGUGGAGGUAUAAGGUCACAUUUUGAGCAUCCUGAAUUCUGUUUCACAGUCAUGUGUGUUUACUGAAACUAUGUUCCUGCCCUUUGUAUUUAAAGUCAUCCGUAAGCAGAGAUACCUUUUGAGAGAGGUUGAGGUACAUGGUGAAGUGAAUAAUAAUGACCAGUAUGUAUAAUCCCUUACCACAUGCAUGGCGUUAUUCUAUGUAUAGAGACAUUUGAUUCUCCUAAGAAUCCUGUGGAGCUAGAAAUGUUAUCAUACCCUCUCUCUGCAGAUGAGGAAAUUGAGGCACAGUGAGAAUUAAGGCUCUAAGUCCCAUCAGUAGAAGGGCCAAGAUUUGACCCUGGUAUUGACAUCUCCAGUUUCCAGGUUUCCAGUGAGCAGUGAGAGGCAUUGCCUUCCCUAAGAAGACCCUGUGCAUUGGUGGUGGGAUCAAUGGGAAUUCAGGCUCUUAGGUUCCCCUCACAGCUUUAUGGACCGUGAAACUGACACCGUGUCAAAGGCUGUAGGCUUUGAAGUGUUUAAUGCUAAGUUUUAUACAAAGCAAACCAAGACUACGCCAGCAAUUGAAUGGGAAAGAAUGAGCAUUUUGAUCUUAGAAUUGAGCAUUUUGUCUGUCAUUAAGAAUUUACCCUUCCUAUGGCAAGACUUGUCUUGGCCACCACCCAAAUAACUGCAUGUCCCAAUAUGAAACAAGAAAUAGGUAUGCUCCUGGGGUAACUUGGAAAAGAAUAAUUUCUAUAUGGAGAGACUAGGCUCCAGAGUUCAAUAUGUAGUUAUAAUCAGAAAAAAAAAUUUUCAUAGACUAAUACUUUGGGGUUAUUUAUUCUCUUUUGAUAAUUUCCAAGUGUGUUUUGACCAGAUUCAUCAGAAAGAUGCUUUUCUCUAUAUUCCAGCCCCAUUCGCUCCAUUAGAGACUAGAACCUCAGUUACACAAUUUUACAUUGAACGUAGGACUCAAGCUGAAUUGCAACACAUGUUUGUUUCCAUUGUCUUUAGUUUUCCCAGCGUUAGUUUCGGUGCUACCUGUAAAGAAUACAAGUUUCUCAUCCAGACCUCGAGAUCCCAAGAGCAUGGUUCCAGCCUAUUUUUAUAGCCUCAUCUUCUUCCCACUACUUUCCUUUCCCUUACUUUCAAAACUUUGGGCUGAAUCUCAGCCAGAGCUUCCCCAUCUGUUUUGUGAUGGAGUCAAGGGCAUUUGUGUUGUCUCAGGCCCCUACAUAUUCACAGGUGGGACAGUGCCUCACCCCUCCCUGCGCUCCCUGGGGUGCUUACUUAGCCUGACACCUUUCCAAAACAGCCUGGCUUUGCUCUGCCAGAUAUGCACAUUAUGAGGUGACAUGUCCUGUGUGUCAAAUGUUAACCAGGGAAGGGACUUUGGAGUGUAACUAGUGUCACCUUUUCCGUUUACAGAGAAACCUGAGAUGUGCAGAAGUCAACCACCCAAGGUCAUUGGUGAGAUGGUGGCAGAGCUGACUCCCUGCAAAUUACCACCUUCUAAAAUAUAGAGGGGAACAUGAUAUCAGGAGAAGAUAUUUUGGGGUCAUGAAAUUACAUGGAUUAUUUAUGUACUGAUGGGAAUAAUAGAGCAGAGAGGGAAAAUUGAUGACACAAUGAUUGCAGGAGGGAAGAUGUUGAGUAUGUGAGAGGAGGCGGAAUCCUGUAUGCAAAGAGAGGACUCAGAAAAUGCCCCUGGGCCAUUCACCCAUAGUGGCAGUAAGGGACACUGGAGUAUGUGGGGAUAGAUGUGGAUAUAUUGGCAGGUAUCAAGAAUGUGUGGAAGUUUUUUCCUGAACUCCUUUUUUCUGUUCAAUAAGAAAGAUGGUUUUCAGCUGAGAAUGAGAAUGAAAAACGUAUUGAGUGGUGGGGCUCCUUUGGACAGAGUGUAUCUGGGUGAAACACAGGCAGGGAAAUGCCAAGGUUCUGAGGAAUGAGCUCAGUGUGCGAGCAGAGAGGGAAGGUCGGUGUGCCUGGGAAGAGAGGAGGCGUGAUAUAGAGGUAAGGUUGUAAGGCCCAUCAGGGAGGCCUAGGAUUCUGCUGGUAAAGAAUUUGAAUUUUAUGCCAGGUGCAGCAGGAAACCAUUGACGGGUUUUUCCACCCGCAGGUGACAUACUCCGAUUUAUACACACGCACCCUUUUCUAAAAAUUGAGACGAACGUCCCAUAACAUAGAAAUCACCAUUCUAAAGUGACUAUUUCAGUAGCGCUUACAAUGUUGUGCAGUCACCACCAGUUUAUAUUGUCAAGAUCAUUCUGGGAUCUGUGGGAACUGGGUGGUGGGGGAGCAGGAGUGCAAAAGGAGAAACAUGUUUGGGGCUGAUGCUGAAGAGAGAAUAGUGGCUAAGGUGGUAGCAGAAAGGAGGGAAGAGCAGACAGAGCAAUGGGAUGUAUUUUUGAGGAGCGUUAGGAGGAUUUCUAACAGAGUCAGCGCAGCAUGGGAGGAAGGACGUAAUAUAUACGGAAGCACCUAGUAAACUUUGCCAACUGGAAAAUGUUAUCAUCAUUAUUAUGAAGAGCAUUUAUGAUUAUUAAAGCCAGACCCACGGUCUCUGAAGGUCCCUCAGAGUCCUGAGGUCCUCUGAGGCUUUAAAGAUGCAUUAACUGCCUUCGAGGGGAAAGGGGAGAUUUAUUUGAAGGUUUUCCUGAUCCCAUGCAGUGCCCAAGUGCUCCCAGAGGAGAGUGCCAGGGCAUUGUCCAUCCAAACACUCGGUGAGAACAGUCAAAGCCUGCCUUCAGCCAGCAGGGCUGCCUCAUGGCCUGGGAGUGUGCAUGGGAACUGGCAGGCCCGGGUGCAGCAUCCCAGACACUAUACUCUCAAGGAGGAAGUGCCCUGACGCCUGGCUUCUCCAACCUCCAGGAUGUCCAGUAAAAACAGACUGGGUGGCGAGGCCCCAGGCCAGAGAGGGGAGAGCCCUUCCAGCAGUACAGCCCUAUGUGGAUGACUCUUGCUGGCACUGAGCACACCCUAGAAGAUUAUAGCACUUUCCCCAGAAUCCCAGGGGCUGGAGCCUGAGAGCCUGCUCAUAAAUGAGGCUCAGCAUCUGACGCUGUCAGCAUCCCAGAUGGUGUUCAGGUGGCAAGGGGCUUUAGGCGAGACUCUCUCCAAAAGGCAAUUUCUUCCCUCCCUCCCUUCUUAGAGGAACUUCCCAGAAACCCAAGUCUAUUUGGUUUAUGAUCUUUGUAGUCUCCUCUGGAAAAAGUGGUCUGUCUUUCAUGUAAGAUUUAGCUUUAAAUAGGCCUCUACUGGGCUAGGAACAUUUUUCUUUGACAGAGAGCUUCUCACCCAGCAAAUAAACGAAAUCAAAUCUUUCAGGCAUGUGCGUAACAGUGCAACUUUAAUUUAUGAAAUGGUCCUUCUCCCAUCUGAGAGAACAGACAGCCCUUCCCAUGCCAUUAGAGCUGCUGUCCUCAAAGUGUGGCCCCCAGACCAACAGUGUAAGCAUUUGCACCCCCUCCCCCCGCUGCCCCCCACAGGGGCUUGUGAGACAUGUAGAUUCUCGGGCCUCACCCUGGCCUCCUGACUGGGAAAUUCUGGAGGUGGGGCCCAGACAUCUUUGCUUUAACAAGUCUUUGAAGAGGUUUUGAUGCACACUCAAGUGAGCACCACUGCUGUAGAGAAAAAGAGAAAUGCAGAACCAAAGAAAGUAUGAGCAGAGAAACCGGGUGGUCACCUAAGCAUCCGAUGCAUGACGGAAGUGAGGCCCAGGGGGAAGGUGACUUGUCCUAGAAGAUUAGAGAACAGAUAACCUUUUGGUCCCUCUGGGAUCUCCCUCCUUUCCUCAGGGGAACUCAGAUUGUUCCUUCGAACUAUUGUCCUUUCCCAGAGGUUCUAGCUGCUCACCCAUCCUGACAUUACCAAGUGACUUUGAACAAUUUACUCUGUGCAUUUAUAUAAAUCUGAUCAUUUCAUAUGGUAAAAGGUAUAUGACACUAUGCGCAUAAAAUACUAAAGAAACCCCAGAGAGAGUGUGGCUUAGAUCAGGUUCCUUGGAAGCAGACUUGGUGGUGGAGAAUUAUAUAUAGCAGGUGUAUUGUGUGUGUGUUACACUGUAAGGAUUGGUGAAAGGGAGAAACUGACCCCGCGUAUGGUUGUAACGGGGCCUCAGACAGGCCUACAGGGAGCGCUGGAGCUGGGAUGAGCUUUCAGAAUGAUUUCCACCUGAAGUAAUGGGGACCGACAUUUAUAUCCUUACAUUAGUCAGUCACUGGCUGUGAGCUGCCCCUGGGAGGGGCCUUCAUUUUGUGCCAGGCACUUGUCUGCCAAAGGCCUUGUCUCAGGGGCACAGCUGGAAGUCAACAGCAGCUGCAAGCUGGGUGGCUCAACCCUGAAGAAGGAAUCUGGAGAGAAUAUAAAAGUAUUCACCUGUCCCCAGAGCUGCUACAGGUGGAUUUCACACUGGUGUUGCCUACCCACUGGGCUGUAGGAAAUAUGACCCUCUUGACUUCCUUCCCAAGGAGAGAGGGAGGACUCUGUGGCUGAAAAACCCAGCACCUGCACCGUGGCAGUCCUGCUCAUCAGCAGGGGACACCCCACGGCCCCCCAGUACACAGACAGCAGGUUCAUCCUCUAACAGUAGAGAAAGGCGUCUUGAUGUCCUUUCAGGUGACACACCCUGGAGGUUUCUCUGACAAGACAGUCUGACUGAUGUUUCACCUGCACAGUUGGCUUAGGGGCCAAUGAGCUGAGAGCUAGAGAAGCAGGAAGGGGAGAGAGCCAGGCCUGACCACUGAAUUCGGCCUGCGUGCCUGGCUCCAAGGAAGGCUUUCUGCUCUUCUCUGGGACUAUUGCACCAAACUUUGGGAAGGGGGAGUGUCGUCUCUGUUUGAAGUCCACCAGAACCCCCUCCCUAGUGCCUCGGAGCGCCAGCUGAACUCUGGCGCCUCCUAAGUGUUGUGCUUUAAUGCCAUGCCAGUGGGCUCCGGCCUAGUCCCGCUGUGAGAUGGAGCAGCCACUGCCAAAGGCUUCAUCUUUCCUGACCACAGGCCCUAGAGCAUCCAAAGGCCUCCAGCGUUCUGUGCCCCAUAAAUCACCAGGCCCCCCUGGCACGCUACCAGAGGGUUGCUGCCACUGCUUUGACACAGACUUAAUUACAAGCUGUUGCUCCCAUCGAUGGGAGCAUCGUACUGUUUGCAAAGUAAGCUCUCAGGAAAUGUCUGGCAGAUGCACGAGUAGAUGCAUAAGUGAGUAAAUGCGUUUGUGAAGCUUUAUGAAAGCCCUGGGACCACCGAUCAAUGGAGUUGGGAUCUGAGCUAGAGCAGCUCAACCUAGAGUAGAAGUGGAGGUGAGCUACUGACAUCCUCAGCUCUCAGCCAAGCCGUGUUCUUUUCCACUAACAGUAAGAUGAAAUGAAAACACCGAGGGAUGGAAAGGCAGCCUUGGAGGAUGAACAGGACAUUGUUAAAGGGAUCCCCAAGGGGGCCGGGUAGGCAAGGAAGAGGAGGCUGAGUGAGCCCCAUGCCCACCCUGCUGCUGUGGCCACUGGGAGUGUGCACUUGGGGGAGAUUUUCAUGGAUGGCCUCUGAGGCGCUGGGCUUUCCAAGCCUCACCUGCAGAGCCCCGUUUCUUUCCCUUGUGUCCACCGUCUCCCUGAGUCACUCCCUGAGUCACCAUCCAACCCUCAGAACGAGGCCUUCCCCAGCCUGAGGCAGACCGUGGUUUGCAUGCCUGAGGCUGACUUGCAUGCCACUCUCCCAGUAAUCAGCCGCUGCAGCUACUCCCUGAGUCAGUGUGAAGGCCUCCCUGCCUGUCUCCUGUCAUCUCUGCAUGAGGUCUUGGGUCUCUGGGGAAGGUACUUGCAGGCCAAGGGCUUCUGACUCCACGACUCAUGGCCCAACUGCCCCAGAAGCACUCCCCCUGGGGGAGCAACUCAGUAUCUCUUUGUCCACAAAGACAUGUUAACAUUCUUCCUGGGAGUCCCCGUCUUAGGUGGAAUGGGUGUGUAACACGAGUCACAGAACCGCGACAGAAAAAUCUACAUAAAGCAUAAUGUUUACAACCAUCCUCUCCCUGAGGCCUUCUGAGGUUAAAAGCGCUUUGGUUUCCCUUGGUCUGACCAGUGUACUAGUGAAGGCAAACCUGGCUUCUGUAACAGGCAAACCCUCCAACUGUCAAUAGCAAAACUAGAAUGGUUUUACUCAUUGCUCCCGUCAGUCCCAAGCAGGUAUUUGACACAGAGCCUCCCAUGUGGUGAUUCAUGGACACGUUCUUUCCUUGAGGUGUAGCUGUCCCCUUGGGCCUUAGAGUCCUCUGCCUUUAUCUGGCAGACAAGGAAAGGGAGGGUAAAGUACCCACCUGUUGAUCUCGACGGCCUGGGAGAGACACACGUCCUUUCUGCUCACCUCCCAGUGACGAGGACUCGUCUGCCUGGUCCACAGGACUCUACCCACAUGCAAGGGGCUUGAGAAAUGUAGCUCCAGCUGGAGAGCCUUCUGAAAGACCUCCUCAUGAUGACAGAGGAGCACAGAUCUCCGAAAAACAGCUAGCUGUCCUUCCCCAGCACUGGGAUGUCACAAUUGGCGGUGGCAAGCUCAAGACGCUGAAGGCAUGGGAGACAUCACUCAUCAAGGAGAAGCACAUGGAACUUAUCAAGGAAGGAUUAUAAAAGUUGUGAGGGAAGGGAGACGGGUGAGGAGGAGAGCCGGCCAAGAUGGAGCUCUGGAGGACAGAGACUAGACCGGAGCAGCUGCUGUCAAGUGUGAGGCUUUGGAAAGAAACUAUUAGGAAAGGGGUCUGAGUGUUGGGACUGAGUGUUGUGUGGUGUGAUUUGUCCCUUGUCAAGCUUCAUUUAGUAAAGCCAUCAGCAGAGUGUGGGAGGGCAGAGGCAGACUUCAGGGUUUGUUGAGUCAAAUGAGUUAAAAAUAUCGUAGCUAUCCUGAAAUCCAGGAGUGAUGAUGGUUGCCCAGCAUUGUGACUGUACUAAAAAUUACCGAAUUGUACUCUUUGAAAGGGUGAAUUUUAGGCUAUGUGAUGAUAGCUCAGUAAAAAAUUACCCAAGAAACAUAAUAAUUCCCACUUUUGAGCACUUUUUUUUGUGCCAGCACUUACACUUUUAUAAUCCCUAUAUCCUUGGUAUAACCUAAAAGGUGGUGUUAAUGUCUCUGUUUUACAGGUAAAGAAACUCAGCUUCACAGGGGUUCGAAUGGCCCAAUGUCACCCCAGAGGUAGAGUCAGAAUUUGAGCUCCAGUCUGCCCAGCUGCAGCCAUGGUGCUCUCUCCACAGGCCUGCUGGUCCCAGUGACAAUCACUGUCAUCUAUUGAGUGCCAGGUGCUGAGCAGGGUGACCUUGAGAACAAUAGCCAGCCUGGGACUCUAAACCUGCUCUUUGACCUCCUGCCCUCUGGGCCUGCCAUCCUCAGCCCUGUUCUCCAGAGGAACCCAGAACGUUCCAGUAACCUGCUGUAAUGUGGAAGUACAUUUCAGUAAUGACAGCCUUCUGUUGCUCUAACUCAGGAAGCAGCAAACCAUGGCCCAUGGGUCAAAUCCAGCCCACCGUUUUGACAAGUGGUGGUUUUAAAAAACAUAUCUGCAAAUUCUUUGAUAUCCCUAUCAAAAGAUUGCAGCCACUCUAGAAAAGUCUCUUAUAGGUGAAAUGGAGCAGCACUAAAUGAGGUCUUAACAAAUAGCCAGCAUCAACCACCGGACAUGUGAGUAAGUGUGCUUUCAAAUGAUUCCAACUCCUAGUCUUCCAGCUGCCCUAUCUGACUCUGGGUGGAGAGAGACCAGCUGUUCUCUCUAAGCCCUCCUAAAAUUGCAGGCUCUCAUGUUAUUGUCAUUUUAAGUGACUAACCUUUAAGGCUGUUUGUCACACAGCAAAGGAUAACUAAAAUAGGACCCUUGGAUGGUUGUCAGGUUUUUGUUCCUACAAAUAGUU